rnacentral:rRNA from 1 species
AGUGAAUGCUGGCGGUAGGCCUAACACAUGCAAGUCGAACGGCAGCACAGUAAGAGCUUGCUCUUACGGGUGGCGAGUGGUGGACGGGUGAGGAAUACAUCGGAAUCUACUUUUUCGUGGGGGAUAACGUAGGGAAACUUACGCUAAUACCGCAUACGACCUACGGGUGAAAGCAGGGGAUCUUCGGACCUUGCGCGAUUGAAUGAGCCGAUGUCGGAUUAGCUAGUUGGCGGGGUAAAGGCCCACCAAGGCGACGAUCCGUAGCUGGUCUGAGAGGAUGAUCAGCCACACUGGAACUGAGACACGGUCCAGACUCCUACGGGAGGCAGCAGUGGGGAAUAUUGGACAAUGGGCGCAAGCCUGAUCCAGCCAUACCGCGUGGGUGAAGAAGGCCUUCGGGUUGUAAAGCCCUUUUGUUGGGAAAGAAAAGCAGCAGGUUAAUACCCCGCUGUUCUGACGGUACCCAAAGAAUAAGCACCGGCUAACUUCGUG